CACGUAGGGCGCAAGCGUUGUCCGGAAUCAUUGGGCGUAAAGAGCUCGUAGGUGGUUUGUUACGUCUGCUGUGAAAACCUAGGGCUUAACCCUGGGCUUGCAGUGGAUACGGGCAGACUAGAGGUAGGUAGGGGAGAAUGGAAUUUCUGGUGUAGCGGUGAAAUGCGCAGAUAUCGGGAGGAACACCGGUGGCGAAGGCGGUUCUCUGGGCCUGUACUGACGCUGAGGAGCGAAAGCGUGGGGAGCGAACAGG
rnacentral:rRNA from 1 species